AGUGAACGCUGGCGGUAGGCCUAACACAUGCAAGUCGAACGGCAGCACAGUAAGAGCUUGCUCUUACGGGUGGCGAGUGGCGGACGGGCGAGGAAUACAUCGGAAUCUACUUUUUCGUGGGGGAUAACGUAGGGAAACUUACGCUAAUACCGCAUACGACCUACGGGUGAAAGCAGGGGAUCUUCGGACCUUGCGCGAUUGAAUGAGCCGAUGUCGGAUUAGCUAGUUGGCGGGGUAAAGGCCCACCAAGGCGACGAUCCGUAGCUGGUCUGAGAGGAUGAUCAGCCACAAUGGAACUGAGACACGGUCCAGACUCCUAAGGGAGGCAGCAGUGGGGAAUAUUGGACAAUGGGCGCAAGCCUGAUCCAGCCAUACCGCGUGGGUGAAGAAGGCCUUCGGGUUGUAAAGCCCUUUUGUUGGGAAAGAAAAGCAGCAGGUUAAUACCCCGCUGUUCUGACGGUACCCAAAGAAUAAGCACCGGCUAACUUCGUG
rnacentral:rRNA from 1 species